rnacentral:rRNA from 1 species
AGUCGAACGCGAAAGCCCCGCAAGGGGCAAGUAGAGUGGCAAACGGCCUGUAGUAACGCGUGGGUGACCUGCCUUCGAGCGGGGGAUAACGUUUCCGAAAGGGACGCUAAUACCGCAUAACAUCCUGCCUUUGAAAAGGUGGAGAUCAAAGCUGGGGAUCGCAAGACCUGGCACUUGAAGAGGGGCCCGCGUCUGAUUAGCUAGUUGGUGAGGUAACGGCUCACCAAGGCAACGAUCAGUAUCCGGCCUGAGAGGGCGGACGGACACACUGGGACUGAGACACGGCCCAGACUCCUACGGGAGGCAGCAGUGGGGAAUUGUUCGCAAUGGGCGCAAGCCUGACGACGCAACGCCGCGUGGAGGAUGAAGAUUUUCGGAUCGUAAACUCCUGUCGAACGGGACGAAAAGGUUGCGGGUUAACAACCCGCGAUCCUGACGGUACCGUUAAAGGAAACCCCGGCUAACUCCGUGCCAGCAGCCGCGGUAAUACGGGGGGGGUAAGCGUUGUUCGGAAUUACUGGGCGUAAAGGGCUCGUAGGCGGCCAACUAAGUCAGACGUGAAAUCCCUCAGCUUAACUGGGGAACUGCGUCUGAUACUGGAUGGCUUGGAUUCGGGAGAGGAAUGCGGAAUUCCAGGUGUAGCGGUGAAAUGCGUAGAUAUCUGGAGGAACACCGGUGGCGAAGGCGGCAUUCUGGACCGACAUUGACGCUGAGGAGCGAAAGCCAGGGGAGCAAACGGGAUUAGAUACCCCGGUAGUCCUGGCCCUAAACGAUGAAUGCUUGGUGUGGCGGGUAUCGAUC